rnacentral:rRNA from 1 species
AUUGAACGCUGGCGGCAGGCUUAACACAUGCAAGUCGAGCGGGGGAGGUUGCUUCGGUAACUGACCUAGCGGCGGACGGGUGAGUAAUACUUAGGAAUCUGCCUAUUAAUGGGGGACAACAUCUCGAAAGGGAUGCUAAUACCGCAUACGCCCUACGGGGGAAAGCAGGGGAUCACUUGUGACCUUGCGUUAAUAGAUGAGCCUAGGUCGGGUUAGCUAGUUGGUGGGGUAAAGGCCUACCAAGGCGACGAUCUGUAGCGGGUCUGAGAGGAUGAUCCGCCACACUGGGACUGAGCCCCGACCCAGACUCCUACGGGAGGCAGCAGUGGGGAAUAUUGGACAAUGGGGGGAACCCUGAUCCAGCCAUGCCGCGUGUGUGAAGAAGGCCUUAUGGUUGUAAAGCACUUUAAGCGAGGAGGAGGCUCUUUUGGUUAAUACCCAAGAUGAGUGGACGUUACUCGCAGAAUAAGCACCGGCUAACUCUGUGCCAGCCGCCGCAGUAA